ACUCAGCUGACGAGUCCCAAAUGGGACAAAACGCUCAUCCUGGAU
rfam:Schistosoma margrebowiei strain Zambia genome assembly, scaffold: SMRZ_contig0002512